AAAAUCAGAUAAAAAAAAAACUACCAGCCGACUACUUAGCCACAAUAAAAAAAUCACAACCAAAAAAAGAAACCAAAACACUCAAAGAAAACCAAAAAUGAGAAAUGGGUUUUUUGGGUUUUGAGAGAGAGUAGGAGAAGGCUGAAAGUUUGAGGGAGAAAAAGGAAGAUCUGAAAAAGAAACGAGAAUAGAGAAGAAGGAGAGGGGAA
rnacentral:lncRNA from 1 species